rnacentral:rRNA from 1 species
UACGGAGGGUGCAAGCGUUGUCCGGAUUUAUUGGGUUUAAAGGGUGCGUAGGCGGCCCCUUAAGUCAGUGGUGAAAGCCCGGGGCUCAACCCCGGAACCGCCAUUGAUACUGGGGGGCUUGAGUAUGGACGAGGUUGGCGGAAUUGAGGGUGUAGCGGUGAAAUGCUUAGAUACCCUCAAGAACACCGAUUGCGUAGGCAGCUAACUAGGCCAUAACUGACGCUGAGGCACGAAAGCGUGGGGAGCGAACAGG